GGGCGUUUAGCUCAGUUGGUUAGAGUGCCUCGACGACAUCGAGAAGGUCGGAGGUUCGAGUCCUCCAACGCCCA
rnacentral:tRNA from 4 species